UGAUAGCAGUGAAGUAGACAAGCAAAGGAUGCUCCUAAGAUUAUCAAGAAACGUUUAGGGAGUAAAAAUCCGAAAAUACAGCUCCUUACCCUAUUUGUUCUCGAGACCCUGAGCAAAAAUUGUGGAGAGAAUGUGUUUCAGCAAAUUGUGGAGCGGGACAUUUUAAAGGACAUGGUCAAAAUUGUGAAGAAGAAGGUAAACAACUUCC